AGAGCGAACGCUGGCGGCAGGCCUAACACAUGCAAGUCGAGCGCCGUAGCAAUACGGAGCGGCAGACGGGAGAGUAACACGUGGGAACGUGCCCUUUGGUUCGGAACAACACAGGGAACUUGUGCUAAUACCGGAUAAGCCCUUACGGGGAAGAUUUAUCGCCAAAGGAUCGGCCCGCGUCUGAUUAGCUAGUUGGUGAGGUAACGGCUCACCAAGGCGACGAUCAGUAGCUGGUCUGAGAGGAUGAUCAGCCUCACUGGGACUGAGACACGGCCCAGACUCCUACGGGAGGCAGCAGUGGGAAUAUUGGACAAUGGGCGCAAGCCUGAUCCAGCCAUGCCGCGUGGAUGAUGAAGGCCCUAGGGUUGUAAAGUCCUUUCGGCGGGGAAGAUAAUGACGGUACCCGCAGAAGAAGCCCCGGCUAACUUCGUGCCAGCAGCCGC
rnacentral:rRNA from 1 species